ACUUUUCCUUGCAGACAGGUUAAAAGAAGAUUCCCAAACACAGACGCAUUUGUGGGGCACUUUAUUAGGAAUCCUGUUGAGCCGUGGGAUUGGAGCUGCCUUAGACUUGGGAAGAAGUCCCUGUUUUAGAAGCUUUCAGCAAGUUCUUGAAGUUGCCCUGAGAUCCAGCCUGUAGUUUGCAGCUUCCCAUCCAUCCUGGGAAAGUGGGCAGGGAGCUCCCUAAAGGUCCUCUGGGCUGGGCACAGCUUUUUUCUGUGCAGAGAGGCUCCAGCAGCACUGGGCAGUGAGUGCUGGGCUUAAUCCAUGGGAGCAGAUAAAUCCACAAUCCCUGCUGGGCCCUUUCCAGCACUGAAUUCCAGCUAAGGGAGAGGAGAGGAGCCCCUUCCAGGCCAGCAGCUGCUCUGUGCCAGUGCCUGUGACCUGGGAUUGGUCCUGCCUGUCUGACUCUGGAGUCCCUCAGGUGCUGGAUCAUGGAAAACAUCCCAGCCAUGGAUCAACCCCUGGUGUCACCCCGUGGUUUUGGGCAGGGCACAGCCAUUGGCAGUGGGUGUGUUUGGGGAGAGGAGUCCUGGGAAAGGCAGCCCAGAGGAUGAGGCCUGGGGAGAGCUGUGAGCUGAGAAGUGGCUCCAAUCAAGUUUAAGGAGCCUGAAACUCCUGGAAUGGUCUGGGUUGGAAGGAACCUUAUGGAUCAUCCUGUUCCCACCCCCUGCCAUGGUCAGGGACACCCUCUGGGCUGUCCAUGGGAUUUGCUCUGAGCCAGGCUGGGGCAAUGGGUGGGGUUUUAUCCCUCAGCCCAGUCCUGGGCAAGUUUGGGGUGUCCAUGGGCAGAAUCCUGGGAGCUGCAUUUCCAGAGCUGGGAGCUCCGUGCCUGGAAAUGUUUCCAGUCCUGCUGUUUGGUUUUUUCCCAAACUGGGCAUUACAUUCCUUCCCUGAGCGAGGUGGUUUUCCCUGGGUUGUUGGGAUUGCACACUGGGUGUUUGAGGACGCUGUUGUCUCUUUCUCCUGAGUGGAAGGGUGAGGAAACGGGGACUGUCCCAGAGGCUGGGAACAGCCCAGUUCCAGUGAGGAAUGUGGUGCCCAGCUCGUGGGGUGCACCCUGAGCUGGUCUUUCCCAUCGUUUAUUCCUUAGAGCCUGUUGGAGUGCUGGCCUGGAUCUGGGAGGAGCCAAGUGUCCUGGAGCUGUGAGGUUUUUCCUGUCAGAAAUCCCUGAUGGGGAUGUUUUCCCUGGCUGUUCCAAGGGGAAGGAGCAGCUCUGGAGUUGUUGUAGCCACAGGAUGCAGUGGGUGCAUGCCCUGAGAACCAGUUCAGGAUUGUUCAUCUGAGUCUGCCGCUGACCUGUGACUUCCAGGGCCCCUCCUGAUGUCCUGGAUAUUCCCAGGAGAGGAUAUUCCAAGGCUUGCCUUUUGAGCCAGCAAUUCCAGAGGCAGGGGAGGAGGCAGCCGUGCCCAGGAGGAAGAGGAGGAGGAGUGGGAGGAUGGAGACAGCGGCCACCAAAGGCUGGGGGAGGCACAGCUCCAGGUGGUGCUUUAGGAAAGGCUCUCCAGCCUGGGAAGGAGCUUUUGGCUCCGGACACAUUCGCAGUCCCCAGGAGCAGCAGGACCUGUGCUUUCCCCAGCAGGACAGGAAAACCCACCUAACUCCCCCCAUCUCUGCCAGAAGCUUUGGUGUUUGAGCAGCCAAACCCAGCAGGCUCUGGCCCCGCUGGCCUGCCCUGGAGGGCCCCUGCUCCUUCCCAUGGUGUGAGUGAGUCCCAGAGUGCUGCAAAUCCAGAGGGAUCUGCCCUGGUGCCUGCAGUGCCCAGCCCCAGACAGAGAGAGCCCUGUCCAAGGGGCUGUGGCUCCUUGUCAGGAAUGUGGGGGCAGCCCCGGGAGCAGCUGGAGGUGAGUACUGGGGCUGUGCUUGGGGCUGAGCCAGCUCAGGGCAGUGUUUACCUGGGCUGGGGGCAGUUGGCCCCACAGGCUGAGUUCCAGCAGGAUCAGGGUGACAGAUGCUGCAUUUUCUGUCCCCCUGGAGAUUUCCUGCCGGGAUGGGGCAGGGCAGGGAGCAGCUGCACCUCCCGUGGCACUGCUGCCCUUGGUCUCUCUGCUGUGCCCUCAGCCCCUGGGAAUUUGCUGCUGUCACU